rnacentral:rRNA from 1 species
CCUGGCGACAAUAGAGCAAUGGAACCACCUGACUCCAUCCCGAACUCAGAAGUGAAACGUUGCAUCGCCGAUGGUAGUGUGGGGCU